GUGAGUUUAUCUAAAUAUGCCCAUUUAUCAAUAGUCAUACUUAUUUAUGCUCCUUUAACUCCUUGCAG
ensembl:ncRNA mir-3643 mir-3643 stem loop